rnacentral:misc_RNA from 1 species
UACAGAGGCCUCAAGCGUUAUCCGAAAUUAUUGGGCGUAAAGCGUCCGCAGGCGGGAUAGCACGUCUGCUGUUAAAUCCUAGGGCUCAACCCUAUGGGCUGCAGUGGAUACGGCUAUUCUUGAGGUAGGGAGAGGUGAAUGGAACUCAUAGUGGAGCGGUGAAAUGCGUUGAUAUUAUGGGGAACACCAAUUGCGAAGGCAGUUCACUGGCCCUAUCCUGACGCUCAGGGACGACAGCGUGGGGAGCGAAGCGG